GUUGUCGGAUUCACUUUAAUCCAUGUAUAUUGGUAUGGGUUAGGGUGAAAUUUAGUUCAAGUUCCACUUUAAUCCACCUCAAUACAUGUGAAUUGAUGCGAAUACGACU
rfam:Sorghum bicolor cultivar BTx623 chromosome 5, whole genome shotgun sequence.